UCUAGUUUUAUGGAUUUGUGGUUCCUUUUUUCUAUUUUUGUGGAUAUAAAUUUUUUGUUAUUUUCGAAAAAUAUUGUAAAUGUGCUUGUAAUAAAAUCUAAACUUUUUGUUUUUUUUUUAAAAAAUGUCUUUACUGCGUGUGCUUAUUUUUGGAUCUACAACAUUUUUUUUUAAUUUCUUUGUAAAUCUGCAGGUGAUAGAGUAGUAUUUAUUUCCAUUAAUCUACUUCUCUGCAGAAACAUGUUUUACAAUAGAAAAUUAGCUUUUUUAAAAAAUAAAAUAUAAGUUGUGGUUCCCUAUUAUUAACCCGAGAAUGAUAGUUCAUAGCUCAAUGGAUGUUCAAUCACUGAUUUAUUUCCUUCAAAAGAAUAAAUAUUAUCCAAUUUUUCAAGGAUUUUUUCAAGUAAUGUAAAUGUAGGUCACUAUUAUUAUAUUCAGUUUUUUGUCUUUUGUUUUUGUUCUAUUGAGCUUAAGCAAUCCAACAUUUCUAUUACAUUGACUAUAGUGAUUGCAUUAUUUUUAAUUGCAGCAUCGUCAGUCUAUAGUUGAUGUAUCAUUACUUACUAAACUAUUAUUUAAAUUUAAAUAUUAAUAAGCCUUCUAAAAUUCAGACUAUUGAUUAGAUACAAAUAUAUCUAUACACAUUACUCUGGAAACGUGGAUGGUAAUGUGUUGAGCUAUGAGAACGAAAUGAGGAUGUUGUUAAAUCAUCGAAGGCACAAAUCUGGAGUCUUUUAGUUCUUCAAGUUCUGUAUGCAUGUUGCUUGCUUUGAAAUGUUUUACUAAUAUAUUUGUAAUCUUUUAGAUGAAAGAAGGAGGAAGUGAAAAUGUUCUUGCAAUAUAAAACUUGUUUAAAGUAUUUGGAAUCAUCCUCCCCCUUUGCGGUUCUGCCAUUGCAUCACCUCCAUCGAUACACUGAAGAUAGUUAAUCUGCAUUCAUUUUGGCCCUCUAUUGUUGGUGUAGGAUAUUCUCAAAUCAUUAUGCUCCUUCCUUCCUUGACCAUAGCUGCUAUCACAGUAGCACUCAAGGCUCAAGAAAUCAUCAAUCAUCAUUGCAAAAAAUAAAGACAAAGGAAAUCAAGAUUUGCUGCCUAGUUAUUGUUGAAGAAAUGGAAAUCAAGAAAAAUGAAAGAAAAUAGAAAAAUUUGUAUUUAUAGACAGUUUUGAUGUGUAAAAAUAAUGGGCAAUCCUUUGAUAUUUAUAGACAAAGGUUUGAACAUAAAAAUAUAAGUGUAGGUGUAAAGUUUGUGUGCACUCCAAGUUUGUGUGCACUCAAUUAUUGUAUAGGCUCCUACAAAAUGACAAAAUUUGCAACAAAGACAAAAAAAUAAACAUUAAAUUAUAGAAAA